CAAUAGCGUAUAUUAUUGAUGUUGCAGUUGAAACGUUCGUAGUCGAAUCUUAUCUGCCAAAGCAUUGUGUCAUUUAUGAUGACAUAAUGCUCUCGGCAGAGAUUGUACAAGCAUGUCUGACCUUGUAUCUUACUUUGAGUGAAUCGGCGUGUUCCACGCAGGCAUGUGCCUUGAACGAUUUACCAUAGCAUAAUCAGAGUAUGGAACUGCUUCCUUGUUUGUUCGGAAGCUCUUUCGAUACUGAUAGGAACGGUUGAGGGCAUUCGUAUUCGACUGCUAGAGGUGAAAUUCUUUGAUUAGUCGAGGACGAACCAUUGCGAAAGCAUCUGCCAAGGACGUUUNCUUUGA
rnacentral:rRNA from 1 species